ACUCAAAUGAAUUGACGGGGGCCCGCACAAGCGGUGGAGCAUGUGGUUUAAUUCGAUGCAACGCGAAGAACCUUACCUGGGUUUGACAUCCUCUGACAGCCGUAGAGAUACGGUUUCCCCUUCGGGGGCAGAGAGACAGGUGCUGCAUGGCUGUCGUCAGCUCGUAUCGUGAGAUGUCGGGUUAAGUCCCUUAACGAGCGCAACCCUUAUCUUUAGUUGCCACCAUUCAGUUGGGCACUCUAGAGAGACCGCCGGCGUUAAGCCGGAGGAAGGCGGGGAUGACGUCAAGUCCUCAUGGCCCUUAUGUCCAGGGCUACACACGUGCUACAAUGGCCGACACAAAGGGUUGCCAACCCGCGAGGGGGAGCUAAUCUCAGAAAGUCGGUCUCAGUUCGGAUUGAAGUCUGCAACUCGACUUCAUGAAGCUGGAAUCGCUAGUAAUCGCGGAUCAGAACGCCGCGGUGAAUACGUUCCCGGGCCUUGUACACACCGCCCGU
rnacentral:rRNA from 1 species